UUCACGCAUCAUACAUCAGAGCAGGUCACUGUCUUUGAACGCUGUGAAUUCGAGACCACGCCGCAGAAGGCACAACCACCCAUUUGUGUGUGUUGAGGAGAUGCAUAGUAACACACGGACAUUUGAGGCAGAGACAGCCCGGGACUACACGAUAAACCUUCCUGAGAGUGAGAGUAUAACCCAACCACACUGGCCAGGUGGCUCAGAUCCUGAUUGGGCUGAUAAUACUGUGCCUGGGUGUGACGAUCAGUCCUUUCCCCCUAUAUGACUAUGAUUCUCAAUUUUGCAUUACCACUGAAAUACGCUAUCACCUAUGGGGACCCUUCUCUUUCUUCAUAUCUGGAGCGCUGUCCAUUGCUGCUGGAAGGAAAGUAACCAAGGGUUUGAUCCAAGGCAGCCUGGGAAUGAAUACAGUCAGUGCCACCGUAGCAGGCAUUGGCAUAAUUGUGAUAAUUUUUGAAGAAAUAAUCAUGUAUGACACAGUGAUGUGGAAGUCUUCCUACGCAGUUGCGUUUAUAGGCAUGCUAACCGGACUGCUGCUCUUGUCUCUGGCGGAAGGCUGCAUUGCUCUGGCUCUCUCCGUAUUUGUGUGCAGGGCGGCCUGUUCCGUCAACAAGGUGGUGGUUUUCUUGCCAAAUAAUGACAACAGCCCCUCUCCUGACCAUUUGUAUGACGAGGUUGCAUUUCAAUAGAUCCCUGUGGUGUGGCAUUUCCAGUCAGUUUGACCUGUUGAAUCUCCCUCAGUUGGCUGUUUACCACAUGGGACUAAGACUGAG